rnacentral:tRNA from 1 species
GGAGAUGGCUCAGUGGUAGAGUGACUGCUCAGCAUGCACAAGGUCCUGGGUUCAAGCCCCAGUACCUCCA